GGGGGCAGUCAUUUCAGGGGGAGAGCUCUUCAUUGUGCAGCCCCAAGAUUUGGAAUCCCAGCCAAAGACACGGGAAGACUGAAAGAAGGGCCAGGGAGAUGGCAGGGAGCGAACCCUCAGGAUGUCAGCACCAAACAGAUGUGAAGGAGCAGACUUGAUCUUCAUCUGGUUCUAGCUCCCCCACCCUGAUUUUCCACACUUCCUCACAGCUAACACUCCAAUCCCUCGAAGGCCUCCAACUUCCCAGCUCUUAGCAGAGCCCCAGGAGCCCGGCAGAUGCUGAGAAAGGGCUGGCGAUGGAAGGACCCAGCCUCGGAGCAGGCGCAACAGGGAAAGGGGAGGGGUGGUCACCUCGCCGCGCGGCCACCUGCUGCUCGGACUAGGCCGGGCGCUCAGUUCCUGUCCACCAGGCAAAGGCCAGCUAGGCCCCGCCCGAAGCGCCCUCCACUGGCCAAACCAGGUCCAGCGCCCGGCAGAGAGCGACGGGAACUCUCGCCCAGCUGCGCUGUGGAGCGGAGAGGCGCAACUUUCCAGCACCCAAAUCUGCAAUGAGUCGCUGCAGUCCACCUCAGCCACUCCAACCAUCUGUCCCUCCCAGAACGCGCGCGAGAAUUCCUCCUAGGUCGGGGAAAUAAA